GUGCUGGGGUUGGUCGGGAGAUCCUGUUGCAGCGUGGUCACACUACUGCAUUUGGGCAAAUCCCCCUGGCUAGGGACCCACUCCCGCAUGGACCAGAAAUUCCACUCAGGACUGGAACCUCCUUUUCUUGUGCAUCUAGUACAGUAAAGGCCUAUGGCAUAUCCACAUGUUGAAAAGUAAAGGGUGUUUUAAGGAGAUUUCAGAAUCCUUGCCUCAUUCAAUACAUAUAUCAUUCAUUAACUGACAUGGCACCGGUACCUUUCAAAUGAUCUGGCAGCACCCCAGAGGGCCCUGACACCCUGGUUGAGAAUCAUUGACCUAAAAGAGUAAAAGGGUGAAACUGGAAUUCUCUGUUUCCAUGGAGAUAUGCAAUAGAAUGGAGCCUGAAGACACAACAGACACCCACCUUUCUGGAUCCAGGAUUCCUAUUGGAGGAAUAGUUUGUCUAACACAGGAAAAAAAAGUGGAACCCCAGAAAGUGAAAAAAGAUUCAGCUGGAGCAGUACACUACACCUAGAAUGUGGUUAUCAUUGUUGCCCUGUAUAUACUGGAGGAUCCUGUUGUAUUCGAAACAGCACGCUGCAGUGGAGUGAGUGUCAGGAAUUGUUUGUACUGUGAUAUCUCUUUUGAAUGCAAUGUACUAUAGUGACAUGUCCAUUUCUUGUACCUCACAAAUAACAUGCAAUUCAACAAGAGUCAGAAGACCUACAGAUCAUUUGAAUUUGUGAUUGCUAGUGGUAAUGGUGAUGUUCAGGGUAUGAUAUUCUCUGGUUUAAGAUGCAAUUCAGGACUCUACCCUCAUGUUCUAGGUAAUCAGAAUAUUUGAGUGUGCGAAGAAUGUGCAAAGAGUAUGUGAAGAAUGAUAGAAUGUAUUAGUAUUCUUUGUGGGUUUGUCAAGAAUGAUAGUCACUUUAGUAGUCUGCUUCUAUGAUUUGGCGAUCAUAGGAACCAUCUAAGGUUUUGUCUUUUCUACAGGACAAAAAGAAUAGCAUGUUGCAGACCUAGCACUAGUAUGAUCAUUUAGGUAUUUUAGGUUAUUUCAGUUUUAAGCCUAUAUUAACAUAGAAUGAUGUGAUUCAAGAAAUUAAGUUUUAAUCAGGAUUUGAUUGUGCUUUGAAAGAAGAUAGUAAUUAUUUUUUGGCACUGUGUGUGACUGAUAUUCUUUUUGUUACACACUAUGCAUUCAGAUUA